UCCCAUUCCGAACCCGGUAGUUAAGCCUUCCAGCGCCGAUGGUACUGCACUCGUGAGGGUGUGGGAGAGUAGGACGCCGCCGAAC
rfam:Saccharothrix sp. NRRL B-16348 P442contig40.1, whole genome shotgun sequence.